rnacentral:rRNA from 1 species
GAUGAACGCUAGCGGCAGGCCUAACACAUGCAAGUCGAGGGAGAAGCCCUUCGGGGCAGAAACCGGCGCACGGGUGCGUAACGCGUAUGCAACCUACCUUUCACAGGGGGAUAGCCCGAAGAAAUUUGGAUUAAUACCCCAUAAUAUUGUUGGAUGGCAUCAUUUGACAAUUAAAACUACGGUGGUGAGAGAUGGGCAUGCGUCCUAUUAGCUAGUUGGAGUGGUAACGGCACCCCAAGGCUACGAUAGGUAGGGGUCCUGAGAGGGAGAUCCCCCACACUGGUACUGAGACAGGGACCAGACUCCUACGGGAGGCAGCAGUGAGGAAUAUUGGUCAAUGGUCGGAAGACUGAACCAGCCAUGCCGCGUGCAGGAAGAAUGCCUUAUGGGUUGUAAACUGCUUUUAUAUGGGAAGAAUAAGGUGUACGAGUACA